rnacentral:rRNA from 1 species
UACGGAAGGGGCAAGCGUUGUUCGGAAUCAUUGGGCGUAAAGGGCGCGUAGGUGGUUCUGUAUGUCUACCGUGAAAGCGUACGGCUCAACUGUAUUUUGUCGGUGGAAACUGCAGGACUUGAGGCUGGGAGGGGCUGGUGGAAUUCCCUGUGUAGCGGUGAAAUGCGUAGAGAUGGGGGAGAACACUCGUGGCGAAGGCGGCCAGCUAGACCAGUUCUGACACUGAGGCGCGACAGCGUGGGGAGCAAAUAGG